rnacentral:rRNA from 1 species
AUUGAACGCUGGCGGCAGGCUUAACACAUGCAAGUCGAACGAGUGGCGGACGGGUGAGUAAUGCUUGGGAAUCUAGCUUAUGGAGGGGGAUAACUACGGGAAACUGUAGCUAAUACCGCGUACCAUAGGAUGAGCCCAAGUGGGAUUAGGUAGUUGGUGAGGUAAAGGCUCACCAAGCCGACGAUCUCUAGCUGGGCUGAGAGGAGAACCAGCCACAUUGGAACGUGGACACGAACCAGACUCCUAGGGGAGGCAGCAGUGGGGAAUAUUGCGCAAUGGGGGAAACCUGACGCAGCCAUGCCGCGUGAAUGAAGAAGGCCUUCGGGUUGUAAAGGUCUUUCGGUAGCGAGGCGUUAACUACAGAAGAAGCACCGGGUAACUCCGUGCCAGCAGCCGCGGUAAUUC